UGUUUAAUAAAUUUUUUUAUUAUGAGUUUUCAAUAUGUCUAAUUUUAUCGCUCUAUAAUACUCUAAUCAUCCGUUAGAGGUUGGUUGCGAACAUUUCAAAUAUUUCUUCAAAUCUGUUUACAUUUUUCACACGUCAGCGGCUAAUAGAGCUAUUAUAUGUGUGACCUUAAACAUGUUACGUACUAUUUCUGUUUCAAUAUCAUUUCAGAUAUUCGUAUUCCUUGGUCGUGGUAAGAUAGUGUAGUGAUAUCCUUCUUGAGUAAAGAGCUGUUUGCAGUAAUAACUAAUUGUACGGAUUUCUACUUACAUCGUUACACUUUAAAAUGCAGAUAGUUGAAAUAAAACUUUGCAUCCUAUUCCUUCAACACUUUCUAUGUGGUAUAAUGUUUACUACUAUGAUAACAUGUAUACAAGGGGAACAUCAGUCUACUGAAAAUAAAUCAUAUAAGGAACUUGGUUAUCGUUUAUCAAAAGAUCAUGUAUUGCCACGACACUAUAACAUCAAGAUAAUACUUUCUGAAACGUUGGACUAUUUUGAGAAAUGCGAAAGCGAAAUUGAUAUUGAAGUUUUGAACACAACGUCAAACAUAAGGUUACACAGUUCCGAUACGAUUGAAAAAAGCUCGAUAAAGGUGCGGAAGAAGAAAAGAUAUGAUAUUUCAUAUAAACCCAUAAACAUAACCUACUGCAAGGAAGAGAAUGUUCUAGAUCUCUAUUUCAAGGACCUGUUAUCUCCUGGAAUGUAUGUUCUAGUCAUACCUUACGACAAAAUUGUUCCUUAUGCCAUGGAGGAAGAAGGUUUUAUAAAAUUUUUAUUCAACCCUGUAGAAGCAAAUUUAACGCGUACAGUGGCGUCAACAAAUAUUCAGUCUGUUGAAGCACGAAAAUGGUUUCCAUGUUGGGACGAGCCGGACUUUAAAACAACCUUUAAAUUUAUAAUCAAUCAUCCCGAGGAUUACCUGCUGUGGCCAUUCUUGCCAGAUAUAUACCAAACAUAUAGAAAAGAUGAACGUAAAAGGAAAUGGGGCUGGGUACAUUUAGAUAUUGCACACAAUAUAUCUACUUACCAAGUGAUGUUUACACUAACUGAUGUAGUGCUUAUGCCUCGCACUGAAUAUACAUCACAUCUUACAUCAACCAACCUUCACAAAGCAAAUAAGAGCAAUAGGAUAUUAAGUAGAGCUCCCGUGGAAAAUUCGAUGAAAUUUUCAGAUGUCGUGAUUGAGAAGAUCCUAAAUUUUGAGUGGUACUGCAAAAUUCUUCUAACUGAUAUCAGUAUAAAUCAACUUGCACUUCCGUCUAUGCCACAGAAUGUCGUCGCAAAAUGGAGGCUCAUUCUUUAUAGAGAAUCGCUUGUUACUGUUGAAGAAUUAGAUAGUGAGGACCAAAAACGGGAGGUAACAUUCACAGUAGCACUGGGAAUAGUAUACCAGACGAUAGAUAAUAUACUCACACCGUCAUGGUGGUCUGACUUAUGGUUGAUUAAAGGGCUUGCCGCUAUUCUUCAUAUACAAGUUCUGGAAGAGAUUUUUCCGAAAUGGCGAUUUCUGGAUUUGUUCGUGGUUCAAGUUCAGCAAGACUGUCUUCGCCUCGACACAAAUUUCAUUAUGAAGCCUCUUUCAUAUGAAGUCCAGACGUCAUCCGAAAUUAAAUCACUUUUCUCUUUUCCAAUUUAUGUCAAAGCACCUGUCAUACUACGCAUGGUACAACAUAUUAUAGGCCACGAGUUUCAAGAGAUUAUCAAGAAUUACCUUAAAUCCUACUACUAUCGAUCUCUUAGUCCUGAUUAUUUAUGGAAUAUGAUGCAAGUUCACAAGAAGAAUCCAAAACUGGGUAACUAUACCAUGAAAGAUAUAAUGGAGACUUGGAUAACACGAAAUAAUCAUCCUAUUGUAUAUGUUUAUCGAAAAGGAAGCAUAUUAUUCAUACGUCAAUCAAAAAAAGUAUUUUACAUCGAUGAUAAAGGCAAUGCCCAAGUGCUACGUCAUUGGUUACCUAUCACUUUUACUACAUGGGAGCAAUUAGACUUCAAUGAUACAACUCCUCGUGAUUGGAUAACUCCGGAUAGCAGUGAAAUAAUUGUCGAACUUAGUAAUAAUACUGGGUGGAUCAUAGUAAAUUUACAACAAACAGGAUACUAUCGUGUAAGAUAUGAUGACACGAGCUUAGAUGAAAUUGCAAAAUAUCUAACGACUAACGAAUAUGAGAAGAUUCAUGUUCUUAACCGUGCUCAAAUCAUCGAUGACACAUAUUAUUUCGUGAAGAGAGGAGUAGUCCCUUACAACAAGUUUAGGAGGCUCAUAAGAUAUUUGGGCCAAGAGAGGGAUUGCGUAGCAUGGUAUCCAAUGUUCCAAAUAUUUAGAGACAUAUCGCGUUUCUUACCAUUUGAAGAGAUCGCAACUUUAAAACGAAAGACUUUCGCCGGAAUGGAGAGAAUGGACGUAUUGUAAAGAUUAUGCAGUGGAACAUACAGAUGAAAGCAUAAAACUUAGAAGACUUAUAGAUGUGUACAAUGCUCCAGAUUCCGUUAAACUAUUAUUU
rnacentral:misc_RNA from 1 species